rnacentral:lncRNA from 1 species
GGAGGUGGAAGAACAAUUUACCUUUUCCGGCAGCAGAAUGAAAUUGGUGGAGAUGAAAGCUUUUGGUUGCCAAGAUGUUCUAGGUAUCUACANGAGGAAGAUUUUAUUGUUCAAUUUUUGUAGAAUUAGGGGAAGAUUGCAAUGAAAGGAAAAAGAACUUGGGAGGGGUUUGCACAGAGAAGAGAAACGUNAAAGGAGCUGAAAGCUUCUAAGUGAAAAUAAAAGAAUAAAAUCUAAUUUUAUUUUAUUUUAAACUAUUUUUCUUAAAUAGUUUUCCCCCUUUUUACUUGAUUGCCACUUGUCUCUUUUCCAUUUUGACAAAAUUCUCAGGCUUUACAUUUAUGACAAUAUAAAAAUUUUACACAGAAAGUAAUAAUUUUAUUUAUUAGC